GUGGGGAAUCUUGCGCAAUGGGCGAAAGCCUGACGCAGCCAUGCCGCGUGAAUGAUGAAGGUCUUAGGAUUGUAAAAUUCUUUCACCGGGGACGAUAAUGACGGUACCCGGAGAAGAAGCUCCGGCUAACUUCGUGCCAGCAGCCGCGGUAAUACGAAGGGGGCUAGCGUUGCUCGGAAUUACUGGGCGUAAAGGGCGCGUAGGCGGACAGCUUAGUCAGAGGUGAAAGCCCAGGGCUCAACCUUGGAAUUGCCUUUGAUACUGGCUGUGUUGAGUUUGGGAGAGGUGAGUGGAACUCCGAGUGUAGAGGUGAAAUUCGUAGAUAUUCGGAAGAACACCAGUGGCGAAGGCGACUCACUGGCCCAAUACUGACGCUGAGGCGCGAAAGCGUGGGGAGCAAACAGGAUUAGAUACCCCGGUAGUCC
rnacentral:rRNA from 1 species